rnacentral:rRNA from 1 species
AGUGAACGCUGGCGGUAGGCCUAACACAUGCAAGUCGAACGGCAGCACAUUAUGAGCUUGCUCGUACGGGUGGCGAGUGGCGGACGGGUGAGGAAUACAUCGGAAUCUACUUUUUCGUGGGGGAUAACGUAGGGAAACUUACGCUAAUACCGCAUACGACCUACGGGUGAAAGCAGGGGAUCUUCGUACCUUGCGCGAUUGAAUGAGCCGAUGUCGGAUUAGCUAGUUGGCGGGGUAAAGGCCCACCAAGGCGACGAUCCGUAGCUGGUCUGAGAGGAUGAUCAGCCACACUGGAACUGAGACACGGUCCAGACUCCUACGGGAGGCAGCAGUGGGGAAUAUUGGACAAUGGGCGCAAGCCUGAUCCAGCCAUACCGCGUGGGUGAAGAAGGCCUUCGGGUUGGAAAGCCCUUUUGUUGGGAAAGAAAAGCAGCAGGUUAAUACCCCGCUGUUCUGACGGUACCCAAAGAAUAAGCACCGGCUAACUUCGUG